rnacentral:rRNA from 1 species
AACGAACGCUGGCGGCAGGCUUAACACAUGCAAGUCGAACGAGAUCUUCGGAUCUAGUGGCAGACGGGUGAGGAACACGUGGGAACAUUCCUUUCAGUUCGGAAUAACGUUGGGAAACUAACGCUAAUACCGGAUACGUCCUUCGGGAGAAAGAUUUAUCGCUGAAAGAUUGGCCCGCGUCUGAUUAGCUAGUUGGCGAGGUAACGGCUCACCAAGGCUACGAUCAGUAGCUGAUCUGAGAGGAUGAUCAGCCACAUUGGGACUGAGACACGGCCCAAACUCCUACGGGAGGCAGCAGUGGGGAAUAUUGGACAAUGGGCGCAAGCCUGAUCCAGCCAUGCCGCGUGAGUGAUGAAGGCCUUCGGGUUGUAAAGCUCUUUUGUCCGGGAAGAUAAUGACUGUACCGGAAGAAUAAGCCCCGGCAAACUUCGUGCCAGCCGCCACGGUAA